rnacentral:lncRNA from 1 species
CUUCUUUUCCUGGAAACGGAUUUUAAUUUUUGUCUUCAAUAAACAUGGAUUUUUUUUCUCCUUCCUUAAAAGAAAGGCAUCCUUUAGGUGUGUGGCAGAAGAUAGGCAGCAGAAAUUGAAAUGCAAGUUUUGGGAAAAUGUCUGGAUGAGUGGUGAACUCUUUCAAAGAAGUAUGGCCAUGAAUCCAAAUUUGAACACAAAAGAAAAUCAGAUCAUUGAGAAGUAUGCUCCAAAUACGUCCUGUGAUUCAGAUCCUGGAGCAGACGUCUCGGCUGAUUUCUGGGACAAAGCCUGUGCAAGUAGUAGUAUUGUGCAUCAUGUUUUAGAAGGAAACCAGUAUGUUCAGGUAAGAAAAGUGAGGUGCUCUUCCACAGCAUUGGGUGAUCAAGAGAUCAGAGCUGUAGGAUGCACCUCAGAGCAUGUGGCAUGGAGAUAUGGAUAAAAUUGUUAGUGAGACGUAUAUGUGCAGGGACUUUGAGCAUCUGGGCCUAGCUAUAUAGGCCUGAAGAAUGUGUGAAUGAAU